GAAGGCGAUCAGAUACCGCCCUAGUUCUGACCGUAAACAAUGCCACCUGACGAUCCGCCAGGGUUACUACCAUGACUCGGCGGGCAGUCCCCGGGAAACCCAAGCCUUCGGGUUCCGGGGGAAGAAUGGUUGCAAAGCUGAAACUUAAAGGAAUUGACGGAAGGGCACCACCAGGAGUGGAGCCUGCGGCUUAAUUUGACUCAACACAGGGAACCUCACCCGGCCCGGACACCGCAAGGAUUGACAGAUUGAGAGCUCUUUCUCGAUUCGGUGGGUGGUGGUGCAUGGCCGUUCUUAGUUGGUGGAGCGAUUUGUCUGGUUAAUUCCAAUAACGAACAAGACUCUAGCGGGUUAAGUAGCCCGAGCGGUUUUUGAUCUUUGCGGUCCACCCUCGUGCCCACCUUCCGCUCUU
rnacentral:rRNA from 2 species